CCUACGGGAGGCUGCAGUGAGGAAUAUUGGUCAAUGGACGAGAGUCUGAACCAGCCAAGUAGCGUGAAGGAUGACUGCCCUAUGGGUUGUAAACUUCUUUUAUAUGGGAAUAAAAUGUUCCACGUGUGGGAUUUUGUAUGUACCAUAUGAAUAAGGAUCGGCUAACUCCGUGCCAGCAGCCGCGGUAAUACGGAGGAUCCGAGCGUUAUCCGGAUUGAUUGGGUUUAAAGGGAGCGUAGGUGGAUUGUUAAGUCAGUUGUGAAAGUUUGCGGCCCAACCGUAAAAUUGCAGUUGAAACUGGCAGUCUUGAGUACAGUAGAGGUGGGCGGAAUUCGUGGUGUAGCGGUGAAAUGCUUAGAUAUCACGAAGAACUCCGAUUGCGAAGGCAGCUCACUGGACUGCAACUGACACUGAGGCUCGAAAGUGUGGGUAUCAAACAGGAUUAGAUACCCUUGUAGUC
rnacentral:rRNA from 1 species